UGGGGGAUAUUGCACAAUGGGCGAAAGCCUGAUGCAGCGACGCCGCGUGGGGGAUGAAGGCCUUCGGGUUGUAAACUUCUUUUGCUCUGAACAAGGCAUGCUAAUGGGUGUGUUGAGUGUAGGGGUUGAUUAGCGCCGGCUAACUACGUGCCAGCAGCCGCGGUAAUACGUAGGGCGCGAGCGUUGUCCGGAAUUAUUGGGCGUAAAGGGCUUGUAGGUGGCUGGUUGCGUCUGUCGUGAAAGCUCAUGGCUUAACUGUGGGUUUGCGGUGGGUACGGGCUGGCUUGAGUGCAGUAGGGGAGGCUGGAAUUCCUGGUGUGGCGGUGGAAUGCGCAGAUAUCAGGGGGAAUACCGGUGGCGAAGGCGGGUCUCUGGGCUGUUACUGACACUGAGGAGCGAAAGCAUGGGGAGCGAACAGG
rnacentral:rRNA from 1 species